GACGAACGCGGGGCGUGCUUAACACAUGCAAGUCGAACGUGAUUUUAGGAAAGCCCUUGGGGAGGAAAUGAAAUGAAAGUGGCGAACGGGUGAGUAACACGUGAGCAACCUACCUUACACAGGGGGAUAGCCGUGGAAACGACGAUUAAUACCGCAUGAGACCACUAAGACACAUGUUUGGAGGUAAAAGAUUAUCGGUGUAAGAUGGGCUCGCGUCUGAUAGCUAGUGGAAGGGUAAAGGCCUACCAAGGCAACGAUCAGUAGCCGGUCUGAGAGGAUGAACGGCCACAUGGAACUGAGACACGGUCCAAACUCCUACGGGAGGCAGCAGUGGGGAAUAUUGCACAAUGGGGGGAACCCUGAUGCAGCGACGCCGCGUGAGCGAAGAAGGUUUUCGAAUCGUAAAGCUCUGUCCUAUGAGAAGAUAAUGACGGAUCAUAGGAGAAGCCCCGC
rnacentral:rRNA from 1 species